UACGAAGGGGGCUAGCGUUGUUCGGAAUUACUGGGCGUAAAGCGCGUGUAGGCGGGUUCUUAAGUCCGGGGUGAAAUCCCAAGGCUCAACCUUGGGACUGCCUUUGAUACUGGCAGUCUUGAGUACGGAAGAGGUAUGUGGAACUCCGAGUGUAGAGGUGAAAUUCGUAGAUAUUCGGAAGAACACCAGUGGCGAAGGCGACAUACUGGUCCGUUACUGACGCUGAGGCUCGAAAGCGUGGGGAGCAAACAGG
rnacentral:rRNA from 1 species